rnacentral:rRNA from 1 species
GUGGGGAAUUUUGGACAAUGGGGGCAACCCUGAUCCAGCCAUGCCGCGUGCGGGAAGAAGGCCUUCGGGUUGUAAACCGCUUUUGUCAGGGAAGAAAUCCUUUGGGUUAAUACCUCGGAGGGAUGACGGUACCUGAAGAAUAAGCACCGGCUAACUACGUGCCAGCAGCCGCGGUAAUACGUAGGGUGCGAGCGUUAAUCGGAAUUACUGGGCGUAAAGCGUGCGCAGGCGGUUUUGUACGAUCGAUGUGAAAUCCCCGGGCUCAACCUGGGAACUGCAGUGGUGACUGCAAGGCUGGAGUGCGGCAGAGGGGGAUGGAAUUCCGCGUGUAGCAGUGAAAUGCGUAGAUAUGCGGAGGAACACCGAUGGCGAAGGCAAUCCCCUGGGCCUGCACUGACGCUCAUGCACGAAAGCGUGGGGAGCAAACAGGAUUAGAAACCCCAGUAGUCC